rnacentral:pre_miRNA from 1 species
GUGUGUAUGUAUGUGUGCAUGUGCACGGGUAUGUGUGAAUGUAUGCUACAGUGCAUGCAUAGCCAUCAGA